rnacentral:rRNA from 1 species
UAGCUAGUUGGUGAGGUAAAGGCUUACCAAGGCGACGAUCUGUAGCGGGUCUGAGAGGAUGAUCCGCCACACUGGAACUGAGACACGGUCCAGACUCCUACGGGAGGCAGCAGUGGGGAAUUUUGGACAAUGGGGGCAACCCUGAUCCAGCCAUGCCGCGUGAGUGAAGAAGGCCUUCGGGUUGUAAAGCUCUUUCGGCCGGGAAGAAAUCGCAUGGGCCAAUACCCUGUGUGGAUGACGGCACCGGAAUAAGAAGCACCGGCUAACUACGUGCCAGCAGCCGCGGUAAUACGUAGGGUGCGAGCGUUAAUCGGAAUUACUGGGCGUAAAGCGUGCGCAGGCGGUUUUGUAAGACAGGCGUGAAAUCCCCGGGCUUAACCUGGGAACUGCGUUUGUGACUGCAAGGCUAGAGUACGGCAGAGGGGGGUGGAAUUCCACGUGUAGCAGUGAAAUGCGUAGAGAUGUGGAGGAACACCAAUGGCGAAGGCAGCCCCCUGGGUCGAUACUGACGCUCAUGCACGAAAGCGUGGGUAGCAAACAGGAUUAGAUACCCUGGUAGUCCACGCCCUAAACUAUGUCAACUAGGUGUUGGGUGGGUAAAACCAUUUAGUACCGUAGCUAACGCGUGAAGUUGACCGCCUGGGGAGUACGGCCGCAAGGUUAAAACUCAAAGGAAUUGACGGGGACCCGCACAAGCGGUGGAUGAUGUGGAUUAAUUCGAUGCAACGCGAAAAACCUUACCUACCCUUGACAUGCCAGGAACUUGCCAGAGAUGGCUUGGUGCCCGAAAGGGAGCCUGGACACAGGUGCUGCAUGGCUGUCGUCAGCUCGUGUCGUGAGAUGUUGGGUUAAGUCCCGCAACGAGCGCAACCCUUGUCGUUAAUUGCCAUCAUUUAGUUGGGCACUUUAACGAGACUGCCGGUGACAAACCGGAGGAAGGUGGGGAUGACGUCAAGUCCUCAUGGCCCUUAUGGGUAGGGCUUCACACGUCAUACAAUGGUCGGUACAAAGGGUUGCCAAGCCGCGAGGCGGAGCCAAUCCCAGAAAGCCGAUCGUAGUCCGGAUUGCAGGCUGCAACUCGCCUGCAUGAAGUCGGAAUCGCUAGUAAUCGUGGAUCAGCAUGUCACGGUGAAUACGUUCCCGGGUCUUGUACACACCGCCCGUCACACCAUGGGAGCGGGUUCCGCCAGAAGUAGGUAGCCUAACCGCAAGGGGGGCGCUUACCACGGCGGGGUUCGUGACUGGGGUGAAGUCGUAACAAGGUAGCCGUAGGGGAACCUGCGGCUG